rnacentral:rRNA from 1 species
GGGUUGUGAGGUUAAGCGACUAAGCGUACACGGUGGAUGCCCUGGCAGUCAGAGGCGAUGAAGGGCGUACUAAUCUGCGAUAAGCGCCGGUAAGGUGAUAUGAACCGUUAUAACCGGCGAUACCCGAAUGGGGAAACCCAGUGUGAUUCGUCACACUAUCAUUAACUGAAUCCAUAGGUUAAUGAGGCGAACCGGGGGAACUGAAACAUCUAAGUACCCCGAGGAAAAGAAAUCAACCGAGAUUCCCCCAGUAGCGGCGAGCGAACGGGGAGGAGCCCAGAGCCUGAAUCAGCAUGUGUGUUAGUGGAAGCGUCUGGAAAGGCGCGCGAUACAGGGUGACAGCCCCGUACACAAAAGCGCAUGUGCUGUGAGCUCGAUGAGUAGGGCGGGACACGUGGUAUCCUGUCUGAAUAUGGGGGGACCAUCCUCCAAGGCUAAAUACUCCUGACUGACCGAUAGUGAACCAGUACCGUGAGGGAAAGGCGAAAAGAACCCCGGCGAGGGGAGUGAAAAAGAACCUGAAACCGUGUACGUACAAGCAGUGGGAGCC